GUCUAUGGCCAUGCCACCCUGAACAAGCCCGAUCCUGUCUGAUCUCAGAAGCUAAGCAGAGUUGGGCCUGGUUAGUACUUGGAUGGGACACCACCUAGGAAGACCAGGUGCUAUAGGCG
rnacentral:rRNA from 1 species